rnacentral:rRNA from 1 species
AUUGAACGUUGGCGGCAUGCUUUACACAUGCAAGUCGAACGGCAGCGCGGGCUUCGGCCUGGCGGCGAGUGGCGAACGGGUGAGUAAUACAUCGGAACGUGCCCAGUAGUGGGGGAUAGCUCGGCGAAAGCCGGAUUAAUACCUCAUACGACCUGAGGGUGAAAGCGGGGGAUCUUCGGACCUCGCGCUGUUUGAGCGGCCGAUGGCAGAUUAGCUAGUUGGUGGGGUAAAGGCCUACCAAGGCGACGAUCUGUAGCUGGUCUGAGAGGACGACCAGCCACACUGGGACUGAGACACGGCCCAGACUCCUACGGGAGGCAGCAGUGGGGAAUUUUGGACAAUGGGCGAAAGCCUGAUCCAGCAAUGCCGCGUGUGUGAUGAAGGCCUUCGGGUUGUAAAGCACUUUUGGAGGGAACGAAAAGGACUGUGCCAAUACCACGGUUCGAUGACGGUACCCGCAGAAUAAGCACCGGCUAACUACGUG